rnacentral:rRNA from 1 species
UACGUAGGGGGCUAGCGUUGUCCGGAAUCAUUGGGCGUAAAGCGCACGUAGGCGGUUCGUUAAGUCGGAUGUGAAAGCCCUCGGCUCAACUGAGGAAGUGCACCCGAAACUGGCGAGCUUGAGUACGAAAGAGGAUCGCGGAAUUCCCGGUGUAGAGGUGAAAUUCGUAGAUAUCGGGAGGAACACCGGUGGCGAAGGCGGCGAUCUGGGUCGAUACUGACGCUGAGGUGCGAAAGCGUGGGGAGCAAACAGG